rnacentral:rRNA from 1 species
GGUAGAGAAUACUAAGGCGAGCGAGAUAACUCUGGUUAAGGAAUUCGGCAAAAUGGCUCCGUAACUUCGGGAGAAGGAGCGCCCCGGUAGGGUGUAGGACCUCGCGUCCGAAGCUCGAAGGGGUUGCAGAGACCAGGCCCAAGCGACUGUUUACUAAAAACACAGGAGCGUGCGAAGUCGCAAGACGCAGUAUACGCUCUGACGCCUGCCCGGUGCUGGAAGGUCAAGGGGAUAGGUUAGCUCUUCGGAGCGAAGCUUUGAACUCAAGCCCCAGUAAACGGCGGCGGUAACUAUAACCGUUGAACAGAAAACUGAACGGCGGUUGCAAAACCUGGCUAUAUGCUGGAACAUCCGAGUAUCCGACGGUACUCGUUCGGUCCAAAGGUAGAAAUACCGAAGGACAUGAACAGUGAAAAUCCGAUCGGUGCGGACAAUCAGCAGGAAACCGAAGCCACAGAACGACCAAUCGAUCCAUAUCGGAUCGUCAGAGGAUCGCCUCGAGCGAACCGUCUGACGUACCGGAUGCUGGCAACUCAAGCCGGCGGACGGGCAGACCGAAACGAAUCGAGGGUUGGCGUGGAAGACCAUGCAUCCAGGCAUACGUACCGAUCGCAAGAUCGAUGCCAACACGGAAGCACUGGUCCCUGGACAGAACCGAAAGGUGACGUCCUGUAGGGAUCCUCAGAGACUGUACGCUAGGCGCCGCAAUGAGUAGCGGUGAUGAUACAGUCCGAUCCUCAUGGCGACAUGGGGAGCCCGGCAGAAAUGACCGGGCCCGUUACUUCACGUAAUGAAUUCCACGUGGAGUGCGAAGUAACAAGAAUGCCUAAGGUAGCGAAAUUCCUUGUCGGGUAAGUUCCGACCUGCACGAAUGGCGCAACGACUUGGGCACUGUCUCAACCAGAGACUCGGCGAAAUUGCAGUGUGAGUAAAGAUGCUCACUUCCUGCGACAGGACGGAAAGACCCCGGGACCUUUACUGCAACUUGACAUUGGAGUUCGUUAUCAGAUGUGUAGGAUAGGUGGGAGACCGUGAAGCGGUGGCGCUAGCCAUCGUGGAGUCAACCUUGAAAUACCACCCUUCUCAUAAUGGUCUUCUAACCUCGAUCCAUUAUCUGGAUCAGGGACAGUGUCUGGUGGGCAGUUUCACUGGGGUGGUGGCCUCCUAAAAUGUAACGGAGGCGCCCAAAGGUUCUCUCAGUCUGGUCGGCAAUCAGACGUUGAGUGCAAGGGCAAAAGAGAGCUUAACUGCGAGACCUACAAGUCGAGCAGGUUCGAAAGAAGGGCCUAGUGAUCCCUCGGCGGCAUGUGGGUGCGCCGAGGCCAACGGCUAAAAGGUACCCCGGGGAUAACAGGCUUAUCCUGCCCAAGAGUCCAUAUCGACGGCAGGUUGGCACCUCGAUGUCGGCUCGUCUCAUCCUGGGGCUGAAGCAGGUCCCAAGGGUCGGGCUGUUCGCCCGUUAAAGAGGCACGCGAGCUGGGUUUAGAACGUCGUGAGACAGUUCGGUCCCUAUCCGUCGCAGGCGCAGGAGGUUUGAGAGGAGCUGUCCCUAGUACGAGAGGACCGGGAUGGACGCACCGCUGGUGUGCCAGUUGUUCUGCCAAGAGCACGGCUGGUUAGCUACGUGCGGAAGGGAUAAGCGCUGAAGGCAUCUAAGUGCGAAGCCCACCUCGAGAUGAGACCUCCCACCGGAUCAAACCGGGUAAGGCCCCUGGUAGAAGACCAGGUUGAUAGGCCGGAAGUGUAAGCACAGCAAUGUGUUCAGCUGACCGGUACUAAUCGGCCGAGGGCUUGGACU